CACGGAAAUGCUUAUAGCAUUCAGAUGGUAUGGCGAGCCUUCGCCGUCCACGUUUCUCUUUCUUCAAGAAGACAAAGAACCGCGUCGAUCCGGAUGGUUGUUGCUGUCUGGACCGGUUUGACGAGAAUGGGCCCGUAGCUCAGUUGGUUAGAGCACACGCUUGAUAAGCGUGGGGUCGGAAGUUCAAGUCUUCCCGGGCCCACCAGCCUUCGCCCUUAUGGGCUAUGGCUUGGCGAGCCGGGAGUGAACGGAUGCGGUUUUGUUGCCGAGCCGAUGGAGUGAUCCAUUGGGUGUCGAGCUGGAUGGGGCUGUAGCUCAGCUGGGAGAGCACCUGCUUUGCAAGCAGGGGGUCAGCGGUUCGAUCCCGCUCAGCUCCACCAA
rnacentral:tRNA from 1 species